UUCACCAAUGUAAUAGGUUAUUAUGUACCCAUUGGAUUAAUUUAUUCAAGAUAUUAUAUAAAAUUAUCAUGGUAUUAGAGGUAUAGGCUUUGUUCAACCCUAGCAGUCGCUCUCAUAGAACCCUAGUUGCCACAAGUUUGUUUUGGCAUAGCCAUCAACGGAGGCAGAGACCAACAUGUAGAUCGAACAAAAAAAGAUCCACACUGCUGCUAUUCCAAGAGUUCUAUAAAUAUGGUAAAGAAAUUAUAUUUUUGGCAUGCAAAUCUCUCUCUCACUAGGGGUCGUGGAGGUUUUAACAAUAAUUUCUUUAUUAUAAGUAUUCUGACUAUUUGUAGUAUUCUAAGAGCUUCUGCCUCCUGAUAAAUUCUUUCAAUAUUUGGAUCAGAUUAGGCUGUUAUAAGAUUCGAGACGGUAUUAACAAAAUAAUUCUUGACAGAAACAGUAAAAAACUUUUGGUCAAGAAUUUCGAAAGAUAAUGCUUUAUUUAUUUAAAAGGAAAAUAAGUACAAUAAUAUAAGCUUUAUAUAUGGUAUUGUGUAAGUAACCUUUGAGUGAAACUUUAGGCCACACAUUACAAAUUACGUUUUUCUUUCCUCUCCUUCUCUGGAAUUCCCCCGAUGAUCUACGACUUAAGAUCAGAUGGCAAAACCGUGUUUUACGGGUUACCCUUACAAUAAUAAUUGGUCUAAGGUUACAUUAUUAUUAUUAUUAUUAUUAUUAUUAUUAUUAUUAUUAUUAUCAAACCAAAGAUUCCUACUUUGAUAAAGCUGUCUAAUUCUUUUUUGUUAGUGGGAGUACUUAGGACGAUCCACUUCUUUAUUUGAGCUUUCAAUCCACUUUAGUCUUUGCCAGAUACUGCUGUCUGGGAUCUACAUCAAUCGUCAGUACCUCUUCUGCCGAUGGAUUCUGCGGUCACCGGCUUGUUUCUCCGACGAUCAUUCUACUGAUUUUUGAUUCUAACCAUACGUAGUCCAUGGCUUUUUUGUACACCGGAAUCUAUGACGGUUUUAUUGCAAGAUUCUAAAUUAUUAGCUUCUGGAGUUUUUUCUCGAAGCUCCGGAUCUAUGUAGUACUGCCCUUUCUUCAGAUACUGAUCUGCUUCAGCCUGGGCUUCUUCUAUGGUAGAGUAUUUUUUAUAAUGGGCUUUAGUGCCUUUGGUGACAGCACAAACGGAUGCCCAACUCUUGUAUAUCCCAGGCUGUGUACCUGAAAAUAGCACAUAGCACCUGUUCUCUUGGUUCUUCUCACCAAAGUAUACUGAUAAGCCAUUGAGGCAGGCUAUCAUAUGCUUCCUGUCUUUCUUAUGGAAGGCCACCCAAGUAUUAUCUACAAGGAUCUUUUCUGUUCUGGUGAUU